rnacentral:misc_RNA from 1 species
UAAGAAUCACAAAUAACUCAGAUCGUCCUGUUCAGCUUCUCAGAAGACAUUGGAUUAUCACGGAUGCCAAUGGAAAAACUGAAAAUGUUUGGGGGAUUGGUGUUAUAGGUGAACAGCCAGUUAUACUUCCUAAGACAGGGUUUGAAUACUCAUCUGCUUGCCCAUUAUCUACCCCAAAUGGCAGAAUGGAAGGUGACUUUGAGAUGAAACACAUCGAUAGAGUAGGGUCAACAACUUUCAACGUGG